rnacentral:rRNA from 1 species
UACGGAGGGUGCAAGCGUUAUUCGGAAUGAUUGGGCGUAAAGCGUCCGCAGGUGGCGUUGUAAGUCUGCUGUUAAAGAGUCUAGCUCAACUAGAUAAGAGCAGUGGAAACUACAUAGCUAGAGUACGUUCGGGGCAGAGGGAAUUCCUGGUGUAGCGGUGAAAUGCGUAGAGAUCAGGAAGAACACCAGUGGCGAAGGCGCUCUGCUAGGCCGUAACUGACACUGAGGGACGAAAGCUAGGGGAGCGAAUGGG